rnacentral:rRNA from 1 species
UACGUAGGGUGCGAGCGUUGUCCGGAAUUAUUGGGCGUAAAGAGCUUGUAGGCGGUCUGUCGCGUCUGCUGUGAAAAUCCGGGGCUCAACCCCGGACUUGCAGUGGGUACGGGCAGACUAGAGUGUGGUAGGGGAGACUGGAAUUCCUGGUGUAGCGGUGAAAUGCGUAGAUAUCGGGAGGAACACCUGUGGCGAAGGCGGCUUUCUGGACCGACACUGACGCUGAGGCGCGAAAGCGUGGGGAGCGAACAGG